ACCCUGAUGUGGGGGAUAACUAUUGGAAACGAUAGCUAAUACCGCAUAAUCUCUUCGGAGCAAAGAGGGGGACCUUCGGGCCUCUCGCGUCAGGAUUAGCCCAGGUGGGAUUAGCUAGUUGGUGGGGUAAUGGCUCACCAAGGCGACGAUCCCUAGCUGGUCUGAGAGGAUGAUCAGCCACACUGGAACUGAGACACGGUCCAGACUCCUACGGGAGGCAGCAGUGGGGAAUAUUGCACAAUGGGGGAAACCCUGAUGCAGCCAUGCCGCGUGUAUGAAGAAGGCCUUCGGGUUGUAAAGUACUUUCAGUUGUGAGGAAGGCGUUGAAGUUAAUAGCUUCAGCGUUUGACGUUAGCAACAGAAGAAGCACCGGCUAACUCCGUGCCAGCAGCCGC
rnacentral:ncRNA from 1 species